ACAGGAAUAGCUCAGUGGUAGAGCACGUGCUUAGCACGCAUGAGGUCCUGGGUUCAAUCCCCAGUACCUCCA
rnacentral:tRNA from 1 species